UGGGGUGUAGCUCAGUGGUAGAGCUCAUGCUUAGCACACAUGAGGCCCUGGGUUCAAUCCCUGGCAUCACAA
rnacentral:tRNA from 1 species